AUGGUGACCCAUAUUAAAGGAGACACUCAGAAGAGAGGCUGGGGUGGGUACAUUACUUGGACAUCUCAGAAGAGACUGGUGAGAUCUACAGAGGGAACUGCACAAGACACUUCAUUCUCUUUAAUCUGCUCUACCCCGUCAUAUACCAUUGUUUAUGAUGCUAACAAUUAUGAUGGUGCAAUAGCACACUCAGUGACUCAUCAGCUCCCGCCUUCCAGAGGCACUCAGCUCUCACAUACACGGUGAGUAAUGGCUCAUAGAGACAUU
ensembl:lincRNA